rnacentral:rRNA from 1 species
GAUGAACGCUGGCGGCGUGCCUAAUACAUGCAAGUCGAGCGAACGGACGAGAAGCUUGCUUCUCUGAUGUUAGCGGCGGACGGGUGAGUAACACGUGGAUAACCUACCUAUAAGACUGGGAUAACUUCGGGAAACCGGAGCUAAUACCGGAUAAUAUUUUGAACCGCAUGGUUCAAAAGUGAAAGACGGUCUUGCUGUCACUUAUAGAUGGAUCCGCGCUGCAUUAGCUAGUUGGUAAGGUAACGGCUUACCAAGGCAACGAUGCAUAGCCGACCUGAGAGGGUGGUCGGCCACCCUGGAACUUAGACACCGUCCAGACUCCUAAGGGAGGCCGCAGUAGGGAAUCCUCCGCAAUGGGCGGAAGCCUGACGGAGCAACGCCGCGUGAGGUAUGAAGGUCUUCGGGUCGUAAAACUCUGUUAUUAGGGAAAAACCAAUUUGUAAGUAAAUGUGCCCAUCUUGACGGUACCUAAUCAGAAAGCCCCGGCUAACUACGUG